rnacentral:rRNA from 1 species
AUGGGGCUCUGGGUGGAACAUGGUCUCAGGUGUCUGACCUUGUCAACAUCCAAUGUGAAGUCAGAAGAGGACAAGAAAAGAUCUGAGCAUUCGUCCUGCUGUGACAUGAUGAGGUCACUUUCUUACCAAAUUAACCAUCUGUUUAUGGAGCUUGGGAAAUCAAUGCUGCUUACAUCUCGCCGUGAGAACAGUCCUAUAAAUCUAUCUCCAUCUGUUGCGUCUGUUGCUAACAAUAUUGCUUGUAUCGUGUUGGAGCUCCUCAAUUUUAAGGGUCAUAACAAUCAGUCCAGAGAGGGAGAUUACUGUUGCUACAAAGUGCUGAUACCUUGGAAUGGUUGUUGA